UCCCUGGUGGCUCAGCUGGUAAAGAAUCCACCUGCAAUGUGGGAGAUCUGGGUUUGAUCCCUGGUUUGGGAA
rnacentral:tRNA from 1 species